GAGAUAUUUGUUUGUGACUGCUUAUUCCAAAGGAUGGGAGCUACUUGGAUCAUCAAUAUGAUCUCAAGAGGGGAACUCCUAAUGUGGUUUUAUUUUAUUUUCCCUUAUCUCUUGUAUGUUUAGGAAUUUAACCCUUUUUUUCCCCAUUCUAACCCAAGCCAAAACUUUUUGUGCAAACAAUAACUUUUGUUUUCAACAUUAGAAACCUAAGCCUUAUGC
rnacentral:lncRNA from 1 species